UCCCCGUACCCCAGAAAAAGAAAAACAGUUCCCCGUCGCAUUCUCAGCAGCCUCGCCGCCGCCGAAAAUGCUCCGCCGCCAGCGCCACUUCCUCCCGGCCAAGCCCCGCCGCCGCCCUCCGCCCCGCCCCAAACCCGCCGCCGAGCCCUCCGCCCCGACGUACACCCGCGACGUCGUCCGCCGCGUGACCAACAUACUCCGCGACCACCCCUGGUCGGCGGCGCGCCCGCUCCUCCUCUCCCUCCCGGGCCUCGUCUGGGACUCGCACGUCGUGGCGCGCGUCCUCAAGACCCACCCGCCCCUCCAGAAGGCCUUCCUCUUCUUCCGCCUCGCCGCCUCCUCCCCCACACCCGGGGCCGCCUUCCGCCACGACCGCUACACCUACACCUCCAUGCUCCACCUCCUCGGCGAGGCCGGCCGGGUCCCCGCCAUGCUCCGCCUGCUCGCCGAGAUGCUCCGCGCCGGGGUCGACCCCGACGCCGCCACGUUCACCACCGUCAUGCACUGGCUGGCGCGCGCCGGGGACGUGGACGCCGCGAUGCGGGUGUGGGAGGAGAUGCGCUCCCGCAGGGGGAAGUGCCGCCCCACGCUCGUCAGCUACACGGCCUGCGUCAAGAUCCUCUUCCACGCCGGGAGGGCCGCCGAGGGCAGGAGGGUGUUCGAGGAGAUGGUGGCCGAGGGGCUGCGGCCCAGCUGCACCACCUACACCGUGCUCAUCGAGCAUCUCGCUGACGCAGGAAAAUUCCAAGCUACUCUACAAAUUAUGAGUGACAUGCAAGAUGCAGGCGUAGAACCAGACAAGCCACUCUGCAAUAUUCUAGUCAAGAAGUGUGCCAGCGCUGGUGAGACGUCAGUGAUGACCUUCAUUCUUCAGCACAUGAAGGAGAAAGGCAUUGUUCUCCGUAGGCCUGUCUUUUUGGAAGCACUAGAAGCUCUAAAAGCUAGUGGUGAGAGCCCUAAUCUUCUUUGGGAAGUGAAUCCUCAUCUUGCAUCCGAAGGAAUGGAAUAUGACCCAACAUUUUCUCAUCGAAGCUACAUUACUUACAGAAGUACGAUUAUAUACCUUUUGGCUUCUAGAAACUGGUCUGCUAUCGAACAGAUGGUAAAUGAAUUGACCACGAGGAAUGUGAAGUUGGAAUCGCAUAUAAUAUCUGAUAUUAUUCAGGCCAGCUGCGCAAACUGCAGACCAUCAUGUGGACUCACAGUUCUGUACUAUAGCCUAAGAGUAGGCAGUGAACUUGACAGAUCUGCAUAUAGUUGCCUUCUUGGUCAGUACAUCAGAAAUAAUUCGUUUGAUUUGGUGUCUAAGAUUGUUGAAAGAUUGGUUAAACAUGGCUGCAAUCUUGGAGCAUAUCUGUUAUCUGUCUUAAUACUCAGACUGGGUUCUGCUGGGCAUUCUUCAUACGCGGCACAUAUCUUUGGGUUAUCACCUGCAGAGCAGAAUGUGAUUACCUACACUGCCCUUAUGAAUGCCUAUUUUCAAGCUGGCGAAGUUGAUAAGGCUCUUGAACUAUUCACACAGAUGAUAACUAAUGAGAUAUCUGCUUCUGCGGGUACAUAUGAAGUUCUGAUAUAUGGCUUACAAAAGGCUGGGCGGAAACAGGACUCUGACCGUUACCGAAGAGAAAGAAUGGAGAUUCAAUGGCAUCGUCAGUACCGUGACAAGCAUUCCCCUGAAGAUAGCUUAUGUGACCAUUUAUUUUGUGGCUUUCAUGGUUAGAAGAAAGAAGAUUGUUUGUUGGGUGAUGUUCUAUACUUGGGGAUUUCCUUAGCUCUACCCACCCAGCUUCAUUUUUUCACAGAUUGAAGGUGUAUAAAUGGAUCUCCUGAUAUUUGCUUUGACACAAAGUUAUUACACAGCAAACAUGUGAUUACUUUUCCAUGGCAUGGUAAAAGAAAAUAAAACUGGUUGAUCUCUACAUGGUUACAAGAACCAAGGGAUGGUGAAACUAAAUCGAAAGAGUCUCAUGAAAGGAUUGCUGAAUUUGGAACCUAGAAUGUAUAAGCUAACUCUUUAUGUUAGUGACGACUGCUGAUGUAAAGGGAGAAAAUCCAUUAGAGCUGAACCGUGAAAGGGUGAGAGCGCAUCAUUGGAGUACUAUGGAGGUCACGAAGCAGCUGGAAGUCUGGAAGUGCAAAGGAGCAACUUAAUUGUUGGAUAGCUUGUUAAAAUUUAAGGAGCUGGUAGUGAUCACCUGCUACCAUUCAAAGCAAUCAAGUACAGAUGAAUGCAUAGCAGAGGACACAACCUACCCCAAUUUGCUUGGGACAAAAAGGCUUUGUUGUUGUUGUAUUUUCUCUCCCUUCAACUUUAAGCAGGGUGGAAGAUCUGAGCUCUCAGCACUGGCUCACCAAUGGUAAAACAAUCAGAUAGAAAACCGCUGAACCAGGCGACCUCUCCCUUUACCGACCCGUCUCACCAAUGCAUCCCUUCAUGACUAGAUGGGUAGAUACGCUUCACCAUCUGCAGUAACACAUAUUUCAGAAUUGAGAUUGCAGUAUACAUAAUUAGUGUAUAAUCUAGUAGGAAAGAAAGAGUCAUAAAGUGAAAGUAUAUCCUUAUAUGUGUAUGAAAAACAGGAAAAGCUUUUACAUAUUUUCUCGGUUCCAGGAAACAAUCAUGUGUGUUUAUGCGCAGAUGGCCCUGCAACCACUUAACCUGCAAGAGCUCAAGGAUCCGUAUCUACCUGCUGAAUUAGGUACUGCAAACAAACAGCCAACGAAUUAUUUUUGCAAAUCGUUAACUGCAAGUGACACAAGCUCGCAGCUGAGAAAGUGUUUCCUUCGGCGGAUUUCACUAUGCAACCUCCAGCACAGGAGUUGCCUGCAAAAGAUCUUCAUGGCAAUGAGUAGAAAUUCAUUAGAGCUGACGGUGGAGGGGAUGUUGCGUGCUAAGAGAUGAUCACCUGGAGCACCCCAUCUCUUUCAUUUCUUCAUCCCACUGUCAUCCAAGUCGCCUAUUUUAAGCACGCCUGCAGCUUGAGUGGCGGUGAUUAAUUUAGACUUGGAGGUGUGAGAUAAUUAAGCUCGCUUUCGCUAACCGCUCCCUUCUACCACCUCGCAAGACCACUCUAAAGCAAGAUGAACCGUACAAGCAUUUGCUCUUCCCCAAUGGAAAAAAGGAAAUGUGGCAGUUUAGGCACCGCCUCAGCUCGAAGCUUAACCACAAUAUAAAAUCAGCUGGUCAGUAUUAUGCCAUGCGUGAUUUAUUCCGGUCAAUGAGGGUAGCUGGUGCAUGUGGUUGCAAUUACAGACGUGGUUACCUGAAGAUUUCCAACAAAGGAAAGGCGUUCCCCAUGGGAAACUACGAACAGGGAAAGGCUUGAAUUCUCUGGACACCCUGACAACAACCACAAUAACUGCCGUGUAUCAACAUGUCACAUCAGUGAAGAAAUUUUGACGGAGUGACCCACAGAUACUCACCUCUCACCCUGAAAUAGCAUCUGUGGCCUGGAGUUUUCCAGGGUUUCUCUGAAUUUGGAAGUUACACUUGGCAGAUUUCCAUGGGUGGCACAGAUAUAGGCUGAAGAAAAUUGAGACGAUGCACCAUUGCAAUCCAAAUUGAAGUGAAGCACCUGAACUGGCUCUGAAGAAAGGUGAUCU